AUUUCCUGUGCUGCUCUGCUUGCAGUACUCAUGUAGUAUGUGAAAUGAUUAAGAGCGAAUGCUGUUGCCGAAAUACCCUCUGGAUUCACAUGUACAUAUGUAUUCACAUGCAUUCACUUGUAUUUGCCUUAGUUGACGGAGGAAUUUCAAUUAAUUCAAUUGAAAGUUGGAUGGCGCAAGUACGUAACUUCAACCCAGCCAAGCCUCACUGUUCUAAUGCGGCUUAUUCUCUGCUCGUAUAAAUCACAUAAAAAACUGCGUAUAUGUGUAUGUACCUAGGCACAGGGGAGUCCUUGACAGAUGAGUUGUCUAAGUGGCGCAGCCAUUGAAACCAUCGAACCUGAACAACGGAUAUUCUGACCUAAUUGCAAGUGUGAUUAAGCAAAUAUAUUCUAUGUAAUUAUGUUAAUUGUUUAUAAAUAUGCGCUGAAAUUUUAAUUGAAAUUCUAUAAUUUUUCCCCCUAAGUAAAAAAAUGUAGUUGAUAAAAAAUGAGCAAUUAUUCAUGUAUAAAUAUCUAAGUUUUGUUAUAUUAUAUAUUAUAAUUAAUUUUGCUACUCAUUCACAAAUGUGAAACGAGUAUAUUGGUUCUGCACAAUGUCAAAAGGUAUUCUGCAGUCGAUAACGCCCCAGGGCAACACUUUUACUUGUUUUUUAACUACUUUAAAAAUAUGUAUAGAAAUUUUAGCUUAAAUUCUGUUGUUUCACUUUAGACUGAGUCUCGUUUCUCAACUUGAUUCUCAAUUUUCUUUUAAUUGAACAAUUAUUUAAGACUGUCCUGUCCUUUUUCAGUUGCUCCAGAUGCUAGAAGGCAGACGGCCUUUGACUGCUAGAGACAGCCAGAGACCUCUCAAUUCAAGUAGAUGCUUAUUUUUACGAUUUUUGCUCUCAAGUUUUGCUUCCUUUUAUAAACGGCUUUCUCCACUUUGUUCACAAAGUGAAAUGCGAAUAUUAACUAUUAUGUUAGCUAACCACGUGUCCGUCUGCAGGUCCGUAAAUAUAAACACAAAGUGAUUUAUUUCCCUUUGAACUUUGAAACUUUAAACAUGGUUUUUAUACUCGCUCAUGCCAUCAGUUUUAUAAAUUCAGAAGACUUUUGACUUUUUUCCACAAAUCAAGUACAACUAUGUUUUGAGCAAAGUAAACGCUUUCAUUUACAGACAGUUCUAGUUUGGAAUAUAUGUUCGCUUAUAGCACGAGCAGAGCAAAAAUAUCAAUUUCUAUCAAUAUCAAUUAUAGGCUCGGCCUACUGCAGUCGUGUGACAUCGUGACAAUUUUAUACUUGAUAAUUGAGUUAUUGUUAACCUCUUCACCAGAUAGACAAUAAAUUUUAUAUAUCUUGCUCAUGAUAAUUGUAAACAGAACCAAAUGAAAUUGAGAAAUUAAAUGAAUGUCCACAUUUUGUGUAGAAUAUAUGACAAUUUUACAUUUGAUAAUUAUGAUAUUUGUAGCCUUUUCAGAAGGUAUCAAAUGCAUUUUGUGUUCAUGAAAGUAAUAGUGAUGCAUUUUUGCACAAAAGUCAAAUCAAAUAAAAUGGUUCGUUGGUUUCGUUGCAAAAUGAAAAGAUGUUCGCUUUUUGUGUAGAAUUGCAUGCAAGGAACGUAUUUAAGUUUGGGCAUGUGAAAAGCAAGUAAAAACUCUAUCUUUCAAAGCUUUACAACUUUGAUAAUCAAGUUGCAGUUGGGUAACAGCUUGUUAUAAAGACAGAGUUACAAUGAAAUGCGCUUUUGGACAUAGCAAAAUAGAAAAUAACAUGAUUUUCUAAUGAACUCAAA